rnacentral:misc_RNA from 1 species
AAGUCGUAACAAGGUUUCCGUAGGUGAACCUGCGGAAGGAUCAUUAACACGUUAUCCACGUAUCUACCAACGAGGUCCGUUUUCCCACCCUCUCUUCCGGAGAAUGAAUCGGAGCUUCCGCACAGUUGUUGAACGGGACUGGAACCAGUCGGGCUGUGCUAGCUAUUUGACGUUGUCGCUUCUUCAUUGUAAGUCAGCUCAGACGAUUGUAUCUUGCGGGAAGACUAAAUCCGGCCGAAUGAGAUCUCCGCUUCAUUGACUUUUUCGGUCGGGCCCCUGUUUACCCCUUUCACCCCCUUUUUGCUAGUUGACUUUUAUCUGUUGUAUGCUUUUCUCGGAAAGUGUGCACACGUUUAAUUAUUUGAACGUUAAAAAUACAACUCUUAGCAAUGGAUAUCUAGGUUCUC